rnacentral:lncRNA from 1 species
UCAUCAAAUCCAACGGCUCAUAUAUCUCUACCCCGAUCGAACGAUCAAGAUCAGCUCCGCCUCUCUUCCGCAUGCCGAUCGCUCGUCACGGCUCCGUUUCCGCGCCUCCCCUGCCAACGCCCCGCGCACAUCACGCCCUCACCCCUCCCUGCCACAUCUUCAACCCCCAACUCACGCAUCGUCCCCCUCCUCUCUCCUGGACUCCCCAUCGUCGCCGUCGCCGCAUGCCGCUCCUCUCCCCACUCGCGGGAGAGGAACUCUCUCCAAACCCUAACCCUAACCUCCUCUCUCUCCACGAAUACGCGCUGCACGCUGUUGCGCGCUCCCCUCCCCACUCGCCGGUUCCUCCGCGUCUCACCUGAUCUCCACCUCGAAAUCCGCCGCCGGAGCAGCGUUGGGUCGUCGCCCUCGGUGGCUCAUGUCGCACUGUCGCCCACCUUCGCGCCGCCACCGGUCUCCUCCGCACGAUUGGAACAGGAUAAUCUUCUGCUCAAGAAAACACCAAUGUUGGAGAUGAUCACAAUUGUCCUCCACUGCUCUUGAUCAUUCAAGCAGGCACAUAUACAUACAUAUACAAAAAGAUAUGCCAUGGUGUGGAUGGAAAUCGUGGAGGAAUUCUGCACCUGCACUCUAUUGACAGAGUUCUACUUAUAUAAACAUUGCAAGGGAUGCAUCUUUUGGUAAUUCACCAUUGAUAGGCAUUGUACUAAACUACUAAUACUAUAAUCUGCAGGUAAUACAUAUCCAUCUAUUUUUUCCCUUCAAAUCUACUAGACUUCAACAUACAAUUUUCUCAACCCCAGAUAUGUGGGUAUAUGCAGCUGAUUUGCAAUCACCAACCCCAGAUAUUUUAACCCUUAUAGCUUAACUUUGAAGUCCAUAUGUUAGGCGCAGAGUGGUAAAGUGGUUUAUGUCUAUUUUGAUCGAGCAGUUUGGCGAGCGGAGACGUGGAAUUAUACAAUGGUAGUUCAGGAGAAUUAACAUAGGCAUAGGUACUAUUUUUUACUGAUAGAUGUAUUUUGAAAUCUUCAUGGAUUAUGGAGCGGAACAGCUAAACUUUGCUCUGCUGUAACUUAGACCCAAUUGUGCAGUGUUCAUGGUAUGUCCGACAUUGCUUACUUAGAUAUGCUUAUGCUCUUAGUGGAAUCACUAAUAAACAUCGCCGGAUAUGUGUCCUUUUAGAUAUGCUUGUGUGUUUGCUUCCUGGAGAUUUGGUUGGGUUGGAACAAAAUGUUAUUUAUUUGCUUUAGAAUGCAGUGCCCUAUGUAUUACGAAAUUAUACUUCCUUUAAUUGAGUCUAAUGGCUUAGAAUCCCUAUAAUAUUGUUUAAUUGUGUGGAGAACAUGACCAAAAAUAUAUAAAAUGGAAAUAUAAUAUACUGCUGCUUCCCUGUAUUUCUUGGGAGAUUCUUUUUCAAGAUCAUCACUGAUCAGAUGCUACGAGUCUAGGAAUCUUUAAAGUUUGAUUUUCUUUUUGGCAUGUAUGGAUGUAUAUUUUGGUUUAAUCUUGCCAUAAUUUAUUUAUUUAUUACUACUAGGUCAGGAGAUAAAAUUCUCCUUCAAAGCUCAUUAUACAAUACAAUGUUACAAUAAGGAUAACAUAACCUUAUCCAAACUUGUGAUUAGUCAAUGCUUAAUUAAUUACAUCAUUUUGAGUCAUCGUGGGUGAAACAUGGUACAUUUGUGUUAAACAUAUUAUUGAUAGCACUUCCCUUUGAUGCACAUGUAGGCAGCUCUUACCCUGAAUUCAUAUAAUUGGAUUAGCUGAACUCAGUGCCUCCAAUGAUGAUUGAAUAGGAAGGGAACUAACUAGGGUAGUAUUGUUUUGUGCUUGAGAUCCUGGUUGCGGAACUGAGAUGUACUAUUGACUUGAGUCAUAUUUAGUUUUUUGCUAUAUAAUGUUGAUUUUUUUACUCAUUUUUGCAGAACGAAGGAUGGCGCUUGACCGUGGAUGAGGAGCGGAUGUCCUGCUCAAUGAGAACUACUGUGGAUGCAGUUUUUCUUUCAGUUUUGGUGACUUCAGUGCUGCUAUUUUAUGAGAUUUUCCAUUGUUUGUGAUCAGUAAGCAAGCAUGUACUAAUCAGUUGGUGGCACUGAGCAUGGCUCUUUCUUUUUAGAUCAGACUAGCAAAACUGCCCGUGCGCUGCAAUGGGUGAAAAAUUCCAAUGACAAUAUAUGUUUUUCAUAAAUAACCAUGUGAAUAAUAAUGUUUGUGUUGAUUGUUGUAGCUAAGACAUAUC